rnacentral:rRNA from 2 species
UUGGAAACGACUGCUAAUACCGGAUACGCUCCCAUUGAACUGGGGGAAAGGUGGCCUCUUCAUGAAAGCUACCUGGAUGAGUCCGCGUCCCAUUAGCUUGUUGGUGGGGUAAAGGCCUACCAAGGCAACGAUGGGUAGCUGGUCUGAGAGGAUGAUCAGCCACACUGACUGGAACACGGAGACUCCUACGGGAGGCAGCAGUGGGGAAUAUGCAAUGGGGGAAACCCUGACGCAGCGACGCCACGGGAUGAAGGCCUUGCCGGGUCGUAAUCUGUCAGAAGGAAACGCGCCAUUUCAAAUACUUGGCGUUUGACGGUACCUUCAUUGGGAAGCACCGGCUAACUCCGUGCCAGGCGGUAAUAGAGGGUGCGAGCGUUAAUCGGAAUCACU